UACGGAAGGCAGCAGUGGGGAAUCUUGCACAAUGGGCGAAAGCCUGAUGCAGCAACGCCGCGUGCGGGAAGAAGGCCUUAGGGUUGUAAACCGCUUUCAGCAGGGAAGAAAAUGACGGUACCUGCAGAAGAAGGUGCGGCCAACUACGUGCCAGCAGCCGCGGUGACACGUAGGCACCAAGCGUUGUCCGGAUUUAUUGGGCGUAAAGAGCUCGUAGGCGGUUCAGUAAGUCGGGUGUGAAAACUCUGGGCUCAACCCCAGAGAGGCCACCCCGAUACUGCUGUGACUUGAGUACGGUAGGGGAGUGGGGAAUUCCUGGUGUAGCGGUGAAAUGCGCAGAUAUCAGGAGGAACACCAGUGGCGAAGGCGCCACUCUGGGCCGUAACUGACGCUGAGGGAGCGAAAGCGUGGGUAGCAAACAGGGAUUAGAUACC
rnacentral:rRNA from 1 species